AGUGAACGCUGGCGGCGUGCCUAUACAUGCAAGUCGAACGUGAAAGUCCUUCGGGAUGAGUAAAGUGGCGCACGGGUGAGUAAUGGUUGAGAACGUGCCCUGAGGUGGGGAAUAACAGUUGGAAACGACUGCUAAUACCGCAUGGUGUCGCAAGACUAAAGGUGGGGAUCUUCGGACCUACCGCCACAGGAUCGGCUCAACUCCCAUUAGCUAGUUGGCAGGGUAAUGGCCUACCAAGGCGACGAUGGGUAUCUGGUCUUAGAGGAUGAUCAGACACACUGGAACUGAGACACGGUCCAGACUCCUACGGGAGGCAGCAGUAGGGAAUAUUGCACAAUGGAGGAAACUCUGAUGCAGCAACGCCGCGUGAGUGAAGAAGGCCCUUGGGUCGUAAAGCUCUUUAGCCUGGAAAGAAGUGCCUGUAGGUGAACAAUCUGCGGGUGUGACGGUACCAGGAGAAUAAGGACCGG
rnacentral:rRNA from 1 species